AAGUCGUAACAAGGUUUCCGUAGGUGAACCUGCGGAAGGAUCAUUAACACGUAUCCACGUAUCAACCAAUGAGAACUUGUUUUCCCGUCUCCCUGUGCAAAGAAUGAAUUGGAACCAGUUUGAGGGAGUGAUGGGACCGAAAGGUCGGCCUUCCUGGUAUACUUAUGCAGACAGAAAUGUUUGUGUAGACAAUUGAAUUUUUGUUACAGGCUAUUCCUUAUCGCUUUGAUCCCCAUCAUGAUCGUGGCGGUAAGGAAACUUUCACUUUAUUUACCUUUUUUGCUAGUUGACUUUUUAUAUGUGUUGUCUUGCGAAAGCAUGGUGGCACACGUUUAUUAAUUGAACGUUAAAAAAUACAACUCUUAGCAAUGGAUAUCUUGGUUCUC
rnacentral:misc_RNA from 1 species